CCUGCCGCCUAAAAGGUUCGGCUGGAGACAACGAAGCUGGUUUAUUAACGAUGGCUUGCAUAAGAUAGGCACAUUCGUGAUCUACCCUGUAGAUCCG
rnacentral:miRNA from 1 species